GCGGACGUGGCGGAAUGGCAGACGCGCUAGACUUAGGAUCUAGUGCCUUACGGCGUGGGAGUUCAAGUCUCUUCGUCCGCACCA
rnacentral:tRNA from 1 species